CUAUAGUACGAAAGGACCUAAAUAGCUUAUAAUAUACUAAUCUGACAGAACAAUUGUAUUAAAUUU
rnacentral:tRNA from 1 species